rnacentral:lncRNA from 1 species
GGGCAGGAAGAACAACACCCACCUCUUCACUAUCAACUAGAAAUUCAGCCAAUUGAAAGUGAAUAAGAAUCAAAAUCUUGUGCAAGUGAUGAGAUUCAUAACCAUCUAAGAAUUCUCUACAUAAGGAUGGAGGAUGGAUUAAGGAAGAAAGCUCAAGUCAUUCCGGAUCGCAAACAAACAACGGUAAAGGUAAAUCAACUUGAUCGAUGGCACUACUUGGACCGAACACACUCUUGA